CUUCCCAUCUGUCCGGCCUCUCAGCAGAGCGGUGCCCCCAGACCUAGUGGUGCCCUAGGCGGCUGCCUGUUCUGCCUAUGGCUAAGGACGGCUCUGGAGGCGGAGCUGGGGCGAGCUCCCCAGGCGAGGCAUCUCCCAGCAAUGGAACCAACAUCCAAUGAAGCCUCACAACAAUCAUUGCAUCCCACAGACCAGAUACCAGAAUAUAUCACACCCUGAAGACUCAGUAUACAGUG